rnacentral:rRNA from 1 species
UACGUAGGGUCCGAGCGUUGUCCGGAAUUAUUGGGCGUAAAGGGCUCGUAGGCGGUUUGUCGCGUCGGGAGUGAAAGCCAGAGGCUUAACUUCUGGCUUGCUUUCGAUACGGGCAGACUUGAGGCAUGCAGGGGAGAACGGAAUUCCUGGUGUAGCGGUGAAAUGCGCAGAUAUCAGGAGGAACACCGGUGGCGAAGGCGGUUCUCUGGGCAUGUUCUGACGCUGAGGAGCGAAAGUGUGGGGAGCGAACAGG